AAAGCACCCUCUUGUAUGAACUGAAGAACAGACAUAUUACACUGGACAAUGACAAACAUAAGUUAAUUCUUCAGUAUCUUCACUGAAUUGGAGUCAUUAUGUGGUACAAGGAAAUCCCAGAAUUGGCUGGUUCUUUGUUUGUAGAACCAUCAUUCCUCAUCUCAUUGUUUAAGACUACUGUGGACCAAUAAGAAGGAAGGAAGUCUCCUUUCACUACUAAAACACUUUGAUGUAUGCUUGCCGACCAAACAUAACAGUCCUCUCAAUCCAAAAGCCAACGAAUUCUGUCCGAAGCAAAAUUGGGUACCCUCAAAUCCGAUUGUGUAUGAGCCAGAUGCUUGUCUUUUCCCAAGUUACCUGCCAGACAACGAACAGGUAGAGCAAAAGUGGGUAUCAGACAAUCCAGAGGACCUAAAUAUCCAUGUUUACUUCCUACCUGAGAUACCACAUGGUUUCUUUCACAGGCUUGUCAUCAGGGCGUGCUCCUUAUACUCUCCAUACUGGAUCGGAAAAGACCAGUGUGUGCUGUGCUGUGGUGACAGACGGUUUCUACUCAGAGAACGCCGUGAUGAG
rnacentral:lncRNA from 1 species